UACAGAGGUCUCAAGCGUUGUUCGGAUUCAUUGGGCGUAAAGGGUGCGUAGGUGGCGCCGUAAGUCGGGGUGUGAAAUUUCGGAGCUUAACUCCGAAACUGCAUUCGAUACUGCGGUGCUUGAGGACUGGAGAGGGUAGUGGAAUUCCCGGUGUAGUGGUGAAAUGCGUAGAUAUCGGGAGGAACACCAGUGGCGAAGGCGACUACCUGGCCUGUUCUUGACGCUGAGGCGCGAAAGCUAGGGGAGCAAACGGGG
rnacentral:rRNA from 1 species